ensembl:snoRNA small nucleolar RNA, H/ACA box 65
CCCGCCACUGUGCCGGCCUGCUUUCUCAGCCAUGGCUGUGCACAAUCCAGUGGUGAGCUGAGAGGAAGCCCCCAUUCUAGGAAACAGGCUUGCCCUCUCUGUGGGUAACUCUGUGCCGAUGAGUGGGAACAAAC